rnacentral:rRNA from 1 species
UACGUAGGGGGCUAGCGUUGUCCGGAUUUACUGGGCGUAAAGGGCGCGUAGGCGGUCGUGACAAGUCACUUGUGAAAUCUCCGGGCUUAACUCGGAACGGUCAAGUGAUACUGUCGGACUAGAGUACAGAAGGGGCAACUGGAAUUCUCGGUGUAGCGGUGAAAUGCGUAGAGAUGUGGAGGAAUACCGAUGGCGAAGGCAGCCCCCUGGGAUAACACUG